rnacentral:rRNA from 1 species
GACGAACGCUGGCGGCGUGCUUAACACAUGCAAGUCGAACGAUGAAGCGGGUGCUUGCACUCGUGGAUUAGUGGCGAACGGGCGAGUAACACGUGAGUAACCUGUCCUUUUCUUUGGGAUAACGGCUGGAAACGGCUGCUAAUACUGGAUAUUCAGGCUGCAUCGCAUGGUGUGGUUUGGAAAGGUUUUUUCUGGGAUUGGGUGGGCUCGCGGCCUAUCAGCUUGUUGGUGGGGUGAUGGCUUACCAAGGCUUUGACGGGUAGCCGGCCUGAGAGGGUGGGCGGGCACACUGGGACUGGGAUACGGCCCAGACUCCUACGGGAGGCAGCAGUGGGGAAUAUUGCACAAUGGACGAAAGUUUGAUGCAGCGACGCCGCGUGGAGGGUGUAGGCCUUCGGGUUGUGAACUCCCUUUUCUCGCGAAAAAGGCACAGUUUUGGCUGUGUUGAUGGUAGUGGGGGAAGAAGCGCCGGCUAACUACGUG